CUUCAAAAUUAAUGUAUUUUAGUCUCUGAGCACUAAUUCUACUAUAAAUGGAAGUGAAUGAUACAUAAUUUUGCACUUGAAUUGAGGCCCUCAGUUAGUUGAAUGAGUAAAGAACUUGUCCAUUAGACCUAUCAAGACAAUUUUAGAUUAGUUCAUUUAACAAUGUUAGUCCUUAUAAAUGAACUUACGUACACUUAAAAGCUG
rnacentral:misc_RNA from 1 species